rnacentral:rRNA from 1 species
UACGUAGGGUGCAAGCGUUGUCCGGAAUUAUUGGGCGUAAAGAGCUCGUAGGCGGUUUGUUGCGUCGGCUGUGAAAUCCCGAGGCUCAACCUCGGGUCUGCAGUCGAUACGAGCAAACUAGAGUGUUGCAGGGGAGACUGGAAUUCCUGGUGUAGCGGUGAAAUGCGCAGAUAUCAGGAGGAACACCGGUGGCGAAGGCGGGUCUCUGGGCAACUACUGACGCUGAGGAGCGAAAGCGUGGGGAGCGAACAGG